GUACACGCUGUGACUAGCAUAUCAAUAAGCGGAGGAAAAGAAACUAACAAGGAUUCCCCUAGUAACGGCGAGUGAAGCGGGAAGAGCUCAAAUUUGAAAUCUUAAAGGGUUUCCCUUUACGAAUUGUAGUUUAAAGAAGUGUUUUCUGUUGAGGUUUUGGUAAAAGUUCUUUGGAAUAGGACAUCAUAGAGGGUGAGAAUCCCGUAUUUGACCUUUACUUUCAACUUUGUGAUACACUUUCAAAGAGUCGGAUUGUUUGGGAAUGCAGUCCAAAAUGGGUGGUAAAUUUCAUCUAAAGCUAAAUAUUGGCGAGAGACCGAUAGCGAACAAGUACCGUGAGGGAAAGAUGAAAAGAACUUUGAAAAGAGAGUUAAACAGUACGUGAAAUUGUCAAAAGGGAAGCGUUUGACACCAGUGUUGUUUUUCUGAAAAUCAAUUAAAGAACUGUUUAUGCUAAGUUGUUUAGACUCUAUCAGCUAACUGUUUAGUUUUGAGCUUUUCUUUAAUGCACUUUUCAGUUAACAAGUCAACAUCAAUUUCUUUUGCUGUGAAAAAGCUUGAGGAAGGUGGCUUGAGAUUCGUCUUAAGUGUUUAUAGCCUCUUGCCUAUGCAGUCGGAGAGAUUGAGGUCUGCAGCGUAGAUCCUUCGGGGCUAAAUGCAUUUGUGCUAAGUUAUAGCAUUUUAUAGACAACUUGUUGACUAUGAUUUGUCUUGUAGCUUACUCGCUUAUGUUAUUUUACCUACGCUUAGGAUGUUGAUAGCAGUAUAGACUGU
rnacentral:rRNA from 1 species